rnacentral:rRNA from 1 species
CCUACGGGCGGCAGCAGUGGGGAAUAUUGGACAAUGGGCGAAAGCCUGAUCCAGCCAUGCCGCGUGUGUGAAGAAGGCCUUCGGGUUGUAAAGCACUUUCAGUGGGGAAGAAAGCCUUGGGGCUAAUACCCUCGAGGAAGGACAUCACCCACAGAAGAAGCACCGGCUAACUCCGUGCCAGCAGCCGCGGUAAUACGGAGGGUGCGAGCGUUAAUCGGAAUUACUGGGCGUAAAGCGCGCGUAGGCGGUCUGAUAAGCCGGUUGUGAAAGCCCCGGGCUCAACCUGGGAACGGCAUCCGGAACUGUCAGGCUAGAGUGCAGGAGAGGAAGGUAGAAUUCCCGGUGUAGCGGUGAAAUGCGUAGAGAUCGGGAGGAAUACCAGUGGCGAAGGCGGCCUUCUGGACUGACACUGACGCUGAGGUGCGAAAGCGUGGGUAGCAAACAGGAUAGAUACCCUUGUAGUC